rnacentral:rRNA from 1 species
ACGAACGCUGGCGGCGUGCCUAACACAUGCAAGUCGAACGGGGAUUUGUUUCGGCAGAAUCCUAGUGGCGAACGGGUGAGUAACGCGUAGGCAACCUGCCCUCCGGCCGGGGACAACACUCCGAAAGGGGUGCUAAUACCGGAUACGAAGUCUGUGCCGCAUGGUACGGAUUUGAAAGAUGGCCUCUAUUUAUAAGCUAUCGCCGGGGGAUGGGCCUGCGUCCGAUUAGCUGGUUGGUGGGGUAACGGCCUACCAAGGCGACGAUCGGUAGCCGGUCUGAGAGGAUGAACGGCCACAUUGGGACUGAGACACGGCCCAGACUCCUACGGGAGGCAGCAGUGGGGAAUCUUCCGCAAUGGGCGCAAGCCUGACGGAGCAACGCCGCGUGAGUGAGGAAGUUCUUCGGAACGUAAAGCUCUGUUGUUCCUGACGAACCUCCCCUUUAUCAACAACGGAGGGGACUGACGGUAGGGAACGAGGAAGCCACGGCUAACUACGUGCCAGCCGCCGC